AUCAACGGCAGGGGCCAGGGCCGGAUCUUCAUCCUCUGUGCUGAAGUAGCGCUCGAUCAGGUCAAAAGCCUUCUGGUAGAUCUCCUGGUUCUCAUGACCCUGUAGAAACUCCAGUUUGUCUAACCCUGAUGGAAAGGAAUAGGAAAAGUCUUACAGCAGCAGCUCCACUAGUCUGCGGCAGACUCCUGAGUCAAUAACAGCCUGGAUCUUCUCAUUGGGACCAUCAGACAGAUAAGAAAGAGCCCAGCAUGCAUCAGCCAAAAUGUCGGUAUCAUUCACAAAGAGCAGCCAGGACAGAACGCUGAGACACGGCGACACCUGCAUUAAAAAACAAAUACAACUCAGAUAAAGGUAUCCACUGUCCGACAUCCCAUCAUCCUCCAGUGUUCCGUCCUCCUGCACUGUGGCCACAUUUCUGCGCUUGAACAGCUGUAAGAACACAAACUCUCAGCUCACUGUGCUCAAUAAAAAUACCAACAUGCGCCACAUAUCAGUA